CUCAGUCUUCUCUGAAGCUGCACAGCAAAAUGUCCCUAAGCACCACGCCCAACUUUUUCUUGAACACCCCCGGGUACAGUAAUUCCACCACAUCCCUGGGCAACCUGUUCCAAUGCCUGACUGCUCUUUCUGAGAAGAAAUGUCUCAAAAUUUCCAACCUAAACCUCCCCUGGAGCAACUUGAGGCCAUUCCCUCU